UUAGGACCAAAAGUGCAAUUUGAUUUUUAUUGAGGGCCAGAAAAUUGUCUGCUCAGUGCUCAUGUUUCUCAUAACACAUGCUUCCAUAAGAACUGUGUAUUUUAUAUGCAUGUGAUCCAUGUUAUAUACAAAACAUGAAUUCCCCCAUUUAUGUUUGUAUUCAUGUGGAAUUAUGUGCUUUUGUUAUUCUGAUUUGGAUUCUACUUUUUUCUUUAUUGGACUGUAUGUGCUUCCAGAUUGGCCCUGAGAAAGGGAUGCAGCAAGGAGGACAACCACCUUUAUCUGAGUUUUUUCUCCUCUUUCUGAAGAGUGGCAUCUCCUAAACAGAUUAUAGAACUGAUGCAAGUGGAAGGCUUGACUAAUGGUGAAGGGAAAAUCUAUUUACAAUGCCUAAAUGAUAGUACUCUUAAGUGAGGGAUGUUGCCUCUUCUGCAUUAGCUACAAAAGGGUGACUUGUGCUGAAUGAAAGAAGCUGAAAGUGGUGAUUGGUAAUUUUUGCUGCAAAUUAUGUUGGCCUGAAGUGGGAUGUUGAAACACUAAUGAUGUAUAAACUUUGUUGUUAUUGAAGUUUUAUCCUGCUGCUUUCAACCUAAAAUUGCUUCUCACAGUUAAAUUCUGGAAAAUCAUUAUUUUAGUUAUACUUUUUGUUCUAGACUUCUUGGUCAAGAAGUUAGAUCAUUGAGAGGAAUUUCAGAGAUUACUGAAUCUUCAGGAGCUUCAGGAGGAGGUGAAAGAGGCUCAUGAGGUGAAUUAUGUGAAACUAAUAACCCUGGAGAUUAUAGAAGCCACAAAGACAUUGUAGCAAGUUUCUGAGAAGUGAGAAGAAACCACCCUGAAAAGCCUUGCUUCCUCCCUUAAUGCAGAAUUAGAUCAAGUGAUGAAAGAGCAAGAGGAACUGAAGGAGAAUUUAAAAGCAUCAGAAGUUCUUGCUGCUAACAAACUGUUGAAAUUCAAAGCAUCAAGGAAGAGACAGGUUAUGUGGAGGAAAAAGAUUCUAAUGCAUGCAUCAAGGAAGAGACAGGUUAUGUGGAGGAAAAAGAUUCUAAUGCAUGUUUAUUAACCUAUUUGCAUUUUUCUGACAAUGUUCUUAAAGGUAGACAGUUUCUUAUUUAUUUCUGUUUUGAAUGCAAUGAAAUUUCCGACAAUUUGUGUUAAUAGUCCUCUAAUUUUUCUGUACUACUUCUGUUGUUGACUCCAGCCUCACUCUCUUA